rnacentral:rRNA from 1 species
CCCUUAGACGUUCUGGGCCGCACGCGCGCUACACUGACCAGUGCAACAAGCAUCCGUCCUUGGCCGACAGGCCCGGGCAAUCUUUGAACGCUGGUCGUGAUGGGGAUAGACUUUUGCAAUUUUUGGUCUUCAACGAGGAAUUGCUAGUAAACGCAAGUCAUCAACUUGCAUUGAUUACGUCCCUGCCCUUUGUACACACCGCCCGUCGCACCUACCGAUUGAAUGGUCCGGUGAAGCCUCCGGAUUGGCGCGCACCUCGGUGCCGCCGAGAAGUUGGCUAAACCUUACCAUUUAGAGGAAGGUGAAGUCGUAACA